rnacentral:lncRNA from 1 species
UGGAUUAUCUAGGCUAGGAUCCAAGCUCACUGAAGCAGAAAUAAAGCAGCUGAUGGAAGCAGUAAGAUUUUGCAAUCUUUUGAUUUUCCUAAGAUCAAAUUUUAUAUGCAGUCAAAGUUAAAACAAAAGCCUGCUUCAUAUAACAAAAUUAAGUUUUUCCUUCAAAUUAUUCCUCUUUCAGGCUGAUGUUGACAAAAGCGGGACUAUAGAUUACAUCGAGUUCAUUACUGCUACAACGCAUCGACACAGACUUGAAAGAGAAGAAAACUUGUUCAAGGCUUUUCUGUAUUUUGACAAGGAUUGUAGUGGGUAUGUAUUCCCCAUCUUCUUGCAAAUAUGUUUGUUCAAAGUAAUACUUGAUUUUUAACCGGGGAUCAUACUGCUUCUUUUGGAAUCACCAGAUUUAUAACAAGAGAUGAGCUCAGACAUGCUAUGACCGAGUAUGGAAUGGGGGAUGAAGCUACAAUCGAUGAAAUUCUUGAUGACGUUGACACAGAUAAAGUUGGUUAUUCUCAUAAGCUAUAUCUCAUAUUCUAAUUUCUUUUCCAGGAUUUUUGUUAUAUAUGUGGUUUGCUUAAACUAUGCAGGAUGGGAAAAUUAACUAUGAUGAGUUUGUUGCAAUGAUGAAAAGAGGUACUGUUGAUGGUGAAGGAAAUCAUUGAUACGUUAACCAUUAUGCUCUUGCCUUCAUUUCUUGCAAAUGUGGAUCAACUUGAGUGUAAAAUGGCAAGCAUUCUCUAUCAAUAAGAUCUUUCACUAGUUGAAUUUGGGUUGUUUAGUUUGCUCAAGCUGACCUUGUUUAUAGUAACUGCAUUUGUACUAUACCAAGAAUAAGAUCCAUUUACAAUGAAGUGCACCUUACCUUAUCCUUUGCAGUGGAGAAUAAUUUUUCAAUUGGUUUCUAUAUGUAAAAGUUUGCUAGUUAUUGUUGUGAAAAUGGAUUAAAGGAAACUUACCUAGUAGUAGGGAAGGCAGCCCGGUGCACAAAGCUCCCGCUAUGCACAGGGUCCAGGAAGGGCCGGUCUAUUGUACGCAGCCUUACCCUGCAUUUCUGCAAGAGCCUGUUUAUACGGCUCGAACCCAUAACCUCCUGGUCACAUGACAACAACUUUACCAGUUACGCCAAGGCUCCCCUUCAUACCUAAAAGUAGUAUAAUUUUAUUAUUUUCCAUCUCAAUUGUGAAACACACAACAACAAACGACCCAGUAUAAUCCCACUAGUGGGGUCUGAGAAGGGUAGUUUGUACGCAGACCUUACCCAUACCCUAGGAUAGAGAGGCUGUUUCCGAUAGACCCUCGGCUCCCUCCCUCCAAGAACUCCCCACCUUGCUCUUGGGAUGACUCGAACUCACAACGUCUUGAUUGGAAGUGGAGUGUGCUUACUCCUAGAGCAACUCAUUCUUGUAUCAAUUGUGAAACACACAAACCUCUUAAAUCCCAAGCUAUAUAAAGAACUAUGUAACUCCACGAACUUAUGAUUAUAUCCUCAAAAAGACAUACUAUUAUAAUAAAAGAUUCAGGGGAUUUGAAUAGAAACAAGUUAACUAUUACACAUGAUAAAGAGGCUAAUCAGAAUUAGUUAACAGUAACUUUGCCAACCAUUCCAGCUCCCUGGUGAGGUGCACAGUAAAAAGUGUAGGUUCCUUUCUCACUCAAAGUGACAGAGUAAGUCUCCCCUGGUCCAUUGAGAAGGUCCUCUUCAGACAUUGAAAUCUUAGAUGCAUCAACACCAGCUGGGAUUUCAUCUUCAUCAAAUACAACGUUGUGGGGGAAACCGGCAUUGUUCUUGAACGUAAUUUUCUCACCGGCGCUAACGCUGAAGUUUCCAGGAACAAAAGCAAGACCGCCAUCAUCGCUACCAAGCAAUACUUCAAUUGCUAAGGCAUUGCUAGCUAGUAUUGCACUUGCAGCUGUAGCAACUACAACUGCACCUACAUCUUUUACUGAAGCCUUUACUCCCAUUUUGGAUGUUUGGUUGGUGGACACCAUUUUCGCUACAUUGCUAAUUUUGGAACAUGUACCGGAUUUAAGGCCACUGAAUGAUGGGAUAGUAACUGCAGCAGAGGUUACACUGGCCAUUGUCUUGCUUUUCACUAUUCUUGUUACUUCUCUAACUGGCUAAGUGAAAACUUGGGAUCAAGAAAGAUAAGGAGGGAUGAUGAGGUUAUAUUAUGUGUCAGAUUGAGAAGGAAUAUGGAUUUUUUUGAUGUGUGGUGUGUGUUUGUGGAUGUGUAUGUGGUGAAAUGAUGAGUUAUUAUCUGGUAGGAAGGAAUGCUAUUGGUAGAGACGGAUUAUAUACUCUGACGUGGAAAUGGAAUUAUAUCACUAGGAGAAUUUGUGAGAUGGAAAGUAAAAGAGUAUUGGGCUACCAAAAAUUAAAUUUUUUGCCUUAGUUCUUCAGAUUAAAGGAUCCUGGGACUAGGUUGGGGUUUUAGUGAAUCAUAAUUUUUUUUUAAUAAUCGUGAUGUCCGAGUCAGCUUGCCCACGCCUCGACUAAUUCCACCUAAUUACAUGUUAUCUUCCAAAUUGGCAAUUUCUGUCUUCAACUUGAACUAUAUUUAAAAUUGAAUAAUUUAUAUAGUACUUGUACUAUGUUCCCACCUAGUGUCACAAAAUAAAAUUUUAGAUAUUGUAUGAUAUUUUUGCAAGUGACGACAACGCAUACUUUGUCCAUUUUCCUUUUCUUAUCUUCAUUGUGUGGCAUUGAUACGAGACACUGUGUAAAGAGGGCGGAAAAUUACCAUCCAAACACUUGGAAGAUAACAAGAUUUCUAGCAUAAGCAAGUUUUCCCCCCAGAUAGUAGAUAAAUUCAAGUUCCCCUACUUCUUCGUUGAUAUUUCAUUGUAAUUCUAUAAAGAUUGCAAACUAAAAAAAUGAUCUAAGCGAAACGACAUUAUUAUGAAAUGAAUGCUAAAGAAGGUGAGUGAAUACGUAUAACUUCAUAAAUAGUUCCCCUGCAUGAAGUGAGGACUCUGAUCGAACAUACCUAUGUCAAUUUUUCAUGUCUGGAAUUGAUGUUCCAUUUUAUCAUUCUCGCUUGCCAAAUGAACAUGGCAAUGUCACCCUAGCAUUGCCCUCCCAUCGAUUACAACAUCCCUGUUGAGAGUAAAACAUGUUCGAUACCUUGAUUUUUUCUCUUAUCAUGUUUUUUUUAUCUGUCCAAAUCUUGAUAGACAGAGUUACCUGAUACCUAUGUUGACGAGAGACAGCAGAUACUCAUGUACGCAAAUUUGCUCGAACACCAUCAUUUUAAAACACUGAACCCAAAAAAAAAAAAAUGAGGCAUAAGUAUUCCCUCUUGAUCCAAAGAGUAAUUCACAUGGAUAUAGGAAUUGAUAAACAAGAAAAUUUGACAAACAAAAAGUACAUUAUAUUAUACUAAUAUCCUUGAG